UUCCAUACACUUUACCCUCUUCUCCCACAAACCCACGUUUCAUAAAUCUUCUCCCACCCUAAAUCUCAAUUUCUCCGCUAUUAUGACCUCUACUCUCUUCUCCCACAUACUCACGUUACUCCAAUUCUUUGUCCUCUCUGUAUUUUCACAGCAUAAUCAAUCUCUAUUAUUAUUUGGCAUACAAAAAUAGAUCUAUAAAACAACAAAUUUCAGCAAGAAAAAAGGAAGAAAUAUUGAGAUAGAGAAAGUAGAGGAGAAAGAGAUCUAACUGUCCAUCUCAACGAUAGAUUUUUUAACCUUGAUUUUGUCGAAAGCCAUGUUUACAGAUGAAAGAGGUGAAACUGUAUUCACAUGUAUUCAGCAGC
rnacentral:lncRNA from 1 species